UCGGGAAUUUUGGGCAAUGGGCGAAAGCCUGACCCAGCAACGCCGCGUGAAGGAUGAAGUAUUUCGGUAUGUAAACUUCGAAAGAAUAGGAAGAAUAAAUGACGGUACUAUUUAUAAGGUCCGGCUAACUACGUGCCAGCAGCCGCGGUAAUACGUAGGGACCAAGCGUUGUUCGGAUUUACUGGGCGUAAAGGGCGCGUAGGCGGCAAUUCAAGUCAUCUGUGAAAUCUCCGGGCUUAACUCGGAACGGUCAGAUGAUACUGCUUUGCUAGAGUGCAGAAGGGGCAAUCGGAAUUCUUGGUGUAGCGGUGAAAUGCGUAGAUAUCAAGAGGAACACCUGAGGUGAAGACGGGUUGCUGGGCUGACACUGACGCUGAGGCGCGAAAGCU
rnacentral:rRNA from 1 species